GUCUAGUAAAAAUAAAAUAUGACCCAGAACUAAUUGCAAAAGUUUUGAAUCUUUGUUCAUUGAAUAGGUCUGGUAUAUGUAUAUGUCAGAAAAAAGUUGCACAUAUAACUCUGUGCACAACUUUUUUUACAAGCGUUCAAAGUUCACAAAUUUUAACUUUAUAUUUUAAGACCCGAACUGUACACCAUACACGCAGUUUUUUCCUAUGAUGUAACAAUAUUACGUAGGCACGCGCGUCAUUGAAAACUUGUCAUAUGAUUUCGUGAAACUUCCGUCGAAAGAUAAAUAUCAUUUUUCAUCAACAAUAGAGUUUGGAUGGCAAAUAAAGGAAAUCCAUGAUUUACACACCAAUGGUCCUAUGAUGAUAAUCCAAUGUUCAGCUCUCUCUUGUAUCAAGAUGAUACAUGCCACAUUACCAAAACAUGCUCAUGGAACGAACAAUGAUAUGAAGGGCGUUGAUUUUCGAAGCCUGUUGUGCAUUUCUGAUUCCGGCAUCUACAAUUAGAUAUCAACAUGGCAAAGUCAACAGAUACUACGGCGUGUGUAUUUUGUGCACAGGAUAUCCAGAAUAAGUCCCAAAUUGUCACUCUCAGAGAGAAGGGAAGCAACAGUAUAAACCAUGCCAGCGAUCUGAGGAAUUCAAGUAUACGAACAAUUCCAGGCCAAAUUGUGCACCAAGACUGUAGACGGGAUUUUAUUCACAAUAGAAACAUUUCAAAUAGUUCCAA